AAAAGACAUACAUAUUUGGAAAGAAGAAAUGAAACUGUGAUUAAAUAUAUAGAAUAUGAUUAUAUAACAUGAUUAAAUAUAUAGAAAAUCCCAAGGAAUUUAUAAACACAAACACCAAAACAAAUUCCUGGAACUAAGUAUUCUAGCAAGGUUGAAGAUUUGAGGUUAAUAUACAAAAGUCUUUCUUCUAUACUAGAAAUGAAUCCUAGAAACUUGAACUUAAAAGCACAAUAUUAUUUACAUUAUUAGUGCCUCCCCUAAAUUAAGUACGUGUGGAUAAAUCUAACAAAAUACUUGAAAUAUUCAGAUGGAAAAAAAAUCAACAAAGAUUCAAAUAAAUGGAGAUGUGUUCCAUGUUCGUGGGCAGGAAGACUCAAUACUGUUGAUGUCAGUUCUUUCCCCCUCAAUCUAUAGAUUUAAUGCCUUCCCAGUAAAAAUUCAGUCAGCUAUUUGUGGUUAUUGACAAGCUAAUUCUAUAGUUUAAGUAGAAACUCAAAGGCCUAGGGUAGUUAACACAAUUUUGAAGAAGAACAAAAUUGGAAAACUGACACUAUCUUACUUCUAGAGUCAAAAGAAAGCUACAGCAGUCAGGAUAGUGUGUGAAAGAAUAGACAAAUUGGUGAAAGAAUAGACAAAUAGAUCAAUAGAACAGAAUGGACAGCCAAGAAACACACCUGCACAAAUAUCAUCAACUGGUCUUUGAUUAAGAGACAAAGGCACUUCAAUAGAGAAAAGUUAGUCUCUUCAACAAGUGGUGCUGGAACAAAUUGAUAUUUACAUGCAAAAUGUAAAUUUAGACACUGGCCUUUGACAAAAAUUAGCUUACAAUUGAUCAUAAGCCUAAAUAUGCAAUACAAAGCUAUAAAACUCCUAGAAGGUAACAUAAAAGAAAAAUCGAGUUGACUUUGGGCUUGGUAACGCCUUUUUAGAUAAAAGCACAGUCCAUGAAAGAAAAAGAUUGACAAACUGGACUUCAUUAAAAUUUAAAAAAAAAAUCUGCUCUUUGAAAGACACUAUUAGGAGAAUUAAAAGAUAAGCCACAGAUAAGCCACCUUUUCCACAAAGGUGAAAAAAAAAAAAAAAAAACCUUUGCAAAGUAUGUAUCUGGUAAAAUACUUAUAUUCAAAAAAAUAUAAAGAACUCUUCAAAGUUAAUAGGAAAAGUGAAUUAAAAAGUUGGAAAAAUUUGAACUAAUCCCUAACUAUCAAAGAUAUACAGAUGGCAAACAGGCACUUAAAAAGAUGUACAACAUCAUUUGUCAUUAGGGGAUUACAAAUUAAAACAACAGUAAGAUAGCACUAGAGACCUCUGAGAAUGUUUAGAUUAAAAGAGAUGUGAGAACUCCGAAUGCUGGUGAGAAUGUGCAGCAGCAGGAAGUGUCAUUCGUCACGGGUGGGAAAGCAACAUGGUAGUCCCUUUGAACGACAGUCUGGCAGUUUUCUUACAACGUUAAAUAUAGUUUUACCAAACAAUACAGCAAAAUUAUACCCAGCUAUUGUCCCAAGUUGAGUAGAAAACUUAUGCCCACAAAGAACCCGCACAUUAAUAUUUAUAGCAGGUUUAUAUGUAACUGCCAAAUUUGGAAGCAUUCAGAAUGCUCCUUAGUAGGUGAACGGUAAAUACACAGUUGUAAUUCAUGUAAUGGAGUCUUGUCAGCAAUCAUAACAAGGUUUAUUAUGAAGGACAUGGAAGAGCAUUAAAUACAUAACUGUCAGUGAAAGACACUAAUCUAGGAAGGCUACUUACGAUGUAAUUCCAACCAUAUGACGUUCUGGAGAAACCGUAACUCUAGAGGCAGGUUUUAGAUCAGUGCCUCCAGUGGUUUGGGGGAAGAGGAGGGUUUUAGAACAGUGAGACUAGUUUGACUGAAACUAUAAUUGGUGGAUAGAUAAUAUCGUCAAAAUCCAUAGAAUGUGCAGUGGGAACUGUGUACCCUACUGUCAACUACGGACAUGAGUGAAAAAUAAUAUAUCCAUAAUUAUGCAUCAAUUGUAACGUAUGUGCCACACUAAUGAAAGGUGUCAAUAAUACAGGAAACUGCGAUAGGGAAGGAGAGGGCAUAUGGAAUCUCUCUGUCCCCUUUGCUCAAUUUUCUGCACAUUUAAAGCUGUUCUAAAAUAAAAUCUGUUAAUUAAAAUGAAGUUUAUUCCAAAGGUUUGGAUUUGGAAAAAUUUUAAUUUUUAAAACUUUAAAUUUAAAGUUUUAAUUAUUUUCACAUCAAAUUUUUCUUUUUUUGUUUUACUUUAUCUUUUCUUUUGAAGAGAAGAGGGGCAUGCGAGAACUGAAUGUAUGCACGUGGGCAAACCGCCCGGGCCUACAGAGGGAUGCAGACUGUUGAGAUUAGGGGCAGAGUAACUGCUUGGGAGGAGAGCAAGGGAGACGUUAUCCUGGAAUUGCCGUGUAUGUGAGCAGGGGCUUGUAGGGUUCCUCCCUCCAGGAUUCUCUAGGAUUGGAUCCAUUUGUCAUUGUGCAUCUGCCUUUUCCUUGUGAGUUCAGCAGUGGGCCCUGCUGGUGAUAAGCCAGACAGUCAACAGUAGCCCCACCCCCACCCCCACCCCACCACCGGGCUCUACACAUUCCUCCAUCCCUGUAAGCAAGGCUGUGUUCUUCUUGGGCUUGCUCCUUGAAGAGCCUUUGCUUGCUUCGGGACACCUCUGAGUAGUUAAAAUUCUCCAUUGUGCAGGAAAUGGUCCCUGGGAGCUAUAAAGGGAGACAAACCUGCAGGGAACCCAUGGGAAAGAAAAAUAAGUCUGCCCUAUGAUUCCCAUGACCUGGUUGUCAUUACUCGGUGUUUUGUUCCUUUUGUUUUCUCUGGUCUGUUAGUAAGGUCUUGUUUAAAUAUUCCAGUCAGAUCUCAGUGGUCUAAACUAGAUUAAGAUCAUUAAAUGGGCUACGACAUCCUCUAAAACCAGAAUAGGGCCAAGAGCAACAAUUAGUGAGAAAUCCUCGGAUGAUAUGAACAGAAGAGGAGGAGAGGCCUGUGAGCUGCAGCAUCUGCACAGGGAGACUCUCCCUCCAUAGUGGACCUUGUUGACUAGUGUCUCUCAUCCCUGAGGAGGAGGAGGGACAUGGAGGCUGGAGACUAGGCUGGCCUGAUGCCCCAAGAGAUGUGAGGGACGGUGGUCCUGGGUGGAGGCAGUUGCAUUAGGGUUACCUUGGCAACCUCCACCUGUCGUCCACAUAUUCUAAUGCCCUUCAGGCCGAGUUGUUCCCAUCGAGGAAAAGCCAAGAAUCUCUGUCCUUUGUCCUUUUUCUAAAGAACUCCUUUUCCUCAGUUAAAGCUAAGACUCGCUAUUACCCACUGUCCAUCCUAACUAAGACUUUUUGACUCUGGAAUCAAACUUCUCAGGUAUUUUUUUUGGAGGUGAUGCUGGAAAUGUCAACCCAUUGACAACCCAAUGGGUUACAAUGUCAACCCUUUGUAAAGGCUAAAAUUCCCAUAUCAACCUAAAUAAACAAGCAGUAGAUGUAUUAUACAUUUUUCUUGAAGAGUUGCCAGCAUUCAUUUUUCCUCCUAGUUUUGUAAAAUGUAAUAAUAAAACACUUGGGGUUGUGCAGCAAAAGAAACUUCUAACACACUUAUUAUUCAAUAAUAAAUGAGUCUCAUAUUUUGUAUCCCAUUAGGUAUUCUGUAUCAAGGCAAUUUUAAAAGAACUGGAAAUGCAACCCGAAUAUUCAAGUGGAGGAUAGAAAUUAAUAAGAUGGGCUGGAGGAGGAGCCAAAGGCUGAAUUAAUUAGGCUGGGGAUUAUAAACCAUGUUCUGGAACCCUAUGGCUUUACAAAAUAAAUUUAUCUUAUGAAACUAUUUUAAUGUAAAAACCAUUAUCACUAUUAGAGUUUGACUGGCAUUGUGUUGACUAUGUAGCUAAGGCUCUAUUUCUUUCAUUUCUCAGCAGUGUUGUAUAGUGUUUAGUGUACAGGCUUUAUACACAUUUUAUUAAUUUUCUCCUAUGAUUCCAAUGAUUCUGGAUGCUGUUCUAAAGGGCAUUUAAAAAUAUAAACUUUCAUAAUUUAAGUAUACAUUUAAUAUAAAUUUUCCAUCAUUUCAAAAUAUAUUACUUGCUAGUUUUUGCUUAAGAUUUGGUGUCUUUUAAGUUUAUGAUUAGUAUAUAAUUAAGCUUAUUUUAUGACAUUUUGAAAAAGCCCUGUUCUAAAGUGCUGUGGUUUAAAGGCAAUGCUAGUGUCUACUGGAGUUCUCUCUCUUGGCUUAGUCUUGGUCGAAGGCAGAAGCUGUGCUCGGCCUCACAUGUCUAACAGGUGCUCAUGGGUGGGUUGCCUUUUGAUUCACCUGAAUCACAGAGUAACAACUAACAACACCUUGGGGUGCUGAUGACAAAGUUUUUCUCUCUUUAAGACACUGUUCUCGGGGAUCCUUGGGUGGCGCAGCGGUUUAGUGCCUGCCUUUGGCCCAGGGCAUGAUCCUGGAGUCCUGGGAUCGAGUACCACAUCAGGCUCCCUGCAUGGAGCCUGCUUCUCCCUCUGCCUGUGUCUCUGCCUCUCCCUCUCUGUGUCUCUCAUGAAUAAAUAAAUAAAAUCUUAAAAAAAAAAAAAAGACACUGUUCUCCAAGCCCUCCGGGGUUCCUCCUCUCUCUAGCCUUCAACCCACUCCAUGCCCUUAACUACCAGUACCUCCCUGGCUGUAGGAUUGCUUUCUUUCUCAGGCCAUAUAUAUAUUUUUUUUUUUCUGGAGGAGGGACUCGUAGUUGUUAUACCCCUUCUUGUUAUCUUUCUUUUCUAUAACCUCAAACUCUUCUACUCUAUCACUGACAAUUCUCUCUUCUUUCCUCACAAAGUCCUUGAUGGCCCUUUGAAAAACAUCUUUCUGGUCUUUCAGCUCUGGAGUCUAAAGCAUUAGCAAUAUAUAAGCAUGGUACUUUUAGUCUAUCCUGGAAAUGGUUCAAAUUCCUAGAAAAUAGAAGAAAAAGUGGGAGUUCAUAUUGCUAAACAACAUGCCACAGCACACAUAAGAACAAACACUCACAUAGGACUUUUGUUGAUUUAGAUGGCAGCAGAGAAAAAAGCCUGACGUCAAAUUUGGACUCUACCACUUUCCAACAUGUGGGCAAAUCACCUUGCCACUCUAAAUCCUAUGGUCUUGGGACGCCGGGGUGGCUCAGCGGUUGAGCACCUGCCUUCAGCCCAGGGCGUGAUCCUGGAGUCCUGGGAUCGAGUCCUGCAUCGGGCUCCCUGCAUGGAGCCUGCUUCUCUCUUUGCCUGUGCCUCUGCCUCUCUCUGUAUCUCUCUCAUGAAUAAAUAAAUAAAAAUAUUAAAAUAAAUAAAUCCUAUGGUCUUCUUUUGUAAAUUGGAAAAUAAUGGCCCACUCACACUCAGGAUUAGUGUAUAUCAGUUGUAUAAUUCUGAUUGCAGAACUCAAUAUAUAAAGGCAGAACAUCCUUCUCUGAUCCUUGUCAUUGUAACACUACUACCCACUCUUUUUCAAAAGGAAUCCAUUAUGAAACUAAAUAGUAAGAACAUUAUAGGGGCACCUGGGUGGUCCAGUCGGUUAAGAGUCUGCCUUCUGUUCAGGUCAUGAUCCCAAGGAUUGAGCCUCAUGGUCCUCUGGCUCCCUGCAUGGCAGGAAGCCUGCUUCUCCCUCUACCUCUGCCUGCACCUCCCUUCCCCCUGCCCGUGGUCAUACACUCUCCCUCUCAAAUAAAUAAAUAGAUCUUAAAAGAAAAUAAGACUGUUCUAUUAUGUUGACCAGAUGACUUUAAUCUACUGGGUUGUUUAUGUGUACACAUUAUCUUUAACCUUUGGUAGUUGGUAGAGAUAGAUAUCCAUGCCCGUAUCUCUCUUCAGGAACAAUUAUCCCUUAUUUAUGAACAGUGAGAUCAGCAGACAGUCUCCAGCUUUCAUUUCCUUCCAAGUCUGCUCUGCAGAAGGCCACCUGGCUCCAGAUGAUAUCCUUUCCUGGGGUAGUCCAUUUUCAAUGACUGAGUGAUAUGGAGAAGAGCUGGAUCACAUGCUACCUUGUUGUCAGUGAGGACCCCAUCAGUGGUGGUGGGAAGAUCAUAAUUGGUCUCAGGCACCAGCUAGUGGUCCAGAUGUUAAAUUUUUCACAAGAGGUGAGAUUAAGGUGGUAAGCCAGUGGAAGAGUGUUUUAUUUCAGGUGCAGAACAAAUGGAGAAAAUAGUAGCAUUUUGCAUAAAGAGAUAAUAUGGCCAUGUUUAAGUGCCAUCAUUGCACUCGAGAGACAUUAUGAACAUCUGGAAGUAACAGAAAAUGGAAAAUGAGAAGUGAAAUCCAGAGGGCCUGACUGACAAAAAUUCUGUUAUCUCCUGAAAAGUGUCUCCUGCCAAGGACCAUGCCCAGGACUUAAUAGAGUGGGUAAACUUAAAUUUGACUCAACAACAAAAAGAGAUGUGUCAUGCUGAGCCCACUGUUCUGACCGGGAAAACAUGGGAUCUUAAUGCCUGAGUUGAGGAUAUAUGGACAUAUGACCCAAAGAUUUUGACAAACCUAAGCAAGAUUUUGACUAGUUUGUAUUUUGAUUGCUUUGUCUGAACUAUUCUUGCCUAUAUGUAUGACCCAUUCCUCCCAUUUCAGAGCUAGUACUGCCUGUUCCUGGAAUUGGUUGCAGAAGUCAUGUGCCACCUUCCUCAUGAUUACUCACAGCAUAAUCAAACUAAAGAUGUGCUUAGCCUGAAAAGAUAGGUAACUGUGCACUGAGGAAAGGGAUCCAAGCACUUUUAAGGACUAUUGGGCACAGAAUCCAAUUGCCAUCAAUACUGGGAGACUUGAAGCACAAUAAUAGAGUGGGUCCAGACCAAGAACAUCUGGACUGUCUGGGCAUCCUCCAGAACCUCUCACUGAUCCAUUACAUUAAUGUGAUAUAUCCACUGAGUCACAUGAGACAGAAAAUGCUGGCACGCUGGAGGUCUUGGUAAGAAAUGCACACAUCAGAGAGUUGGAGAUAAAUACUACAAUGAUUUAAGAGUAUUAUACAUACAUAAAAAUUCAGGAAUCCCAUGGUCAUCCCCUCCAUGUAAAAUACACAUUUUUAAAUAUCGCACCUACUGCCUUGAAGAAGGAAGCAAAGAACCUGAUAGGCUCCUUGGGUGCAGGGGGCAUCAUAUUUAACACCGAAGGACACUGCUCUGGCUCACACACCAGGCUUUUCAGUAUGUACAUGCAGUAGGCGAAGCAGCCUUGCUCUUUGGGUGUAUGACUCAACAGAAUCUCUGAUGUUGGAGGAACGCAAGUGGGAAAAGCUGCUCUAGACCAUGCUACUUUGGGUGAAAUACACAUAUUAUGAAAAUGGACUUCUGUUAUGUUGCUUGUCCCUAGUGGGGGCAGAUUACUUGAACCCAUGGUCAAGUGACCAUGCAUCCAAAACAGUCAAUAUAAUUUGAGGACCAUCAAAUCUACUAUGUUAUUAAGACUGAGCAGGCCCAGCAUCAAUCCAUUGAAAAGCAGAAGUAGAACAUCCAUGAAUUAAGCAGGAGCAGAACCAUGGGAUAUAAGCAAGCUAUAUAACAGAUAUCUCGGAUCGCCAUGGGAGCUACUGUUGUUGCUUCAGUGCCCUUCCCUCAGCUUGUUCUCUGCCUUUGUGGAGGAACCCUGUAUGAACAGGUGAAGAAAGGGGGGGAAAGUCUAAACUUUUGGUUCACAAAUGGAUUGGCUUGGUUUAUGAAUAUAAGCCAAAAAUGGAUGGCAGCUGCCUAAUAGCUUUACGUACAGGUGGCCUUUGAAAACAAUGACAAGGAAAAAUCAUCUCAAUACAAAAGACCUUUGGGUGAUGAUCAUGGUGAUUCACUUUGUGUAGGAAGAAGGUGGCCUGAGAAAUUUGCAACCUAUAUAAAUGUAUACCUCAUCAUACAUACUUGGAAGCAAUGGGAAAGGACUUACCCUGCUGAUCUGGGACCUAGAAAGAAAAAUACUGGAAGAUCAGGGAUGAGAAUGUCUGGGAUAGAGGUGACAGAGGCACAGGGAUGCACAUUCUGGAGUAUACAAGAUGUGUCAAAAUUUUUCCAUUACAUAUUAAGGCCCAUGAGAGAGCAGCUGCCAUGGAAGAAACACCAAACCAGCAACUAGACAAAUGACCUAGCCAGAGGAUAUCACCAGCCUCUGUCAUACCCAGUGGCAAUGAGCAUAUCAAUAAAAGGGCCGCCGCAGCAGCAGAGGUGGAGGCUAUGCAAGGAUCCAGCAGCAUGGACUCCCACUCUGAACCGUACAGAAUGACCAUCACUGUUGAAUGACCUAAUGGCCUGUAACAAAGACCAAUGGUGCACCCGCAAUAUGGCGGCAAUCCUUGAGGAAAUCCACAACCACUUGGCGGCAACUGACCACAUGAGACCCCUUUCACCUUAUAUGCACAUUUCCAGUGACCAUCCCAAAGCUCCUUUCCACAAUCUCCCACCUGGGAAUUUACCAGAUGGCUACACUAACAACAUCAACCCUGAGAUCAAAGUUUGGUAAUACUUGUCCCAGAGGAGAAGAGACAAAGGUCGGAAAUGAUUGAAUAGCUGGAAGAGUAAUGGAAUUACAGAAAUAAAAGUGUUCCUCCCCUCUAUGUAUUAAGUAGGGAGGAGCUACAUUUCCUAUGAAUCCUUACCCUGUCGGUCAUAUUUGAAUCCUAAUGGGUCCUCAUAACUGCCACUAAAAAUGAACUUGUUUUUCUAAGUUUACCAUAGCGUGCAGUAAGGGCCACUUAUCACCUUAAAACAGAGGGCAUCGGGUGUCAGUUAAGGAGGAAGGGACUUGGGGAGAGGCAAGUGCAAGGACCUUGCUAAGGCACCCGGGAGUCAAAGGAGGCUUAUGUUAAGCACUUGUUACCCAGAUAUCACAGACUCGUAUCCCUUUCUCAUUACAAAGGGAGGUGAUUUGUUCUCACAGGAAUAGACAAUAUUCCAAGUAUGAGAUCACAUUUCCUGCCAGCGGUUUAGCACCACCGUCUGAGGACUCAUUAAGUGUUUGGUCCACGGGUGUGAGGUCUCACGUAAUAUCAUGCCAGACUAAGUCACCCAGCUUACAGCACAGGGCUCACGGUAUCACACUUCAUACCACUCAGAAACCACUGGGGAAACAGCCUACCGAAGGUAUACCCAAAGUGCCAACUUAGAGCCAAUGCUUUAAGACGCUAUCCUUCAGGUUACAUCAUAUGCCUUGAAUCAAAGACCUUUAUUCGGUACUAUGUUCCCAAGAGGAAGAAAACAUAGCGAUGGAAACAAUAGGUAAAAAGAAGAAUGACACCCCUUACCCUCAUUUACAAUGACCCCGUGGAGGAUUUUGUGCUUCCUUUUCCCACUGGGCUCUGUAGGUGUGGAGAUCAUGGUUUCUAGUGAGGGCAUGUUUUCUCCAGAAACAUAGCAAGACUCCCAUUGCAUGAUGAGCUACCACUGCUUCCUGGGCAUGCUGGCUCCUUGUGUCCAGGGACCAGCAGGCAAGAAAGGAGUCACUGCACUGGGAGAGAUAAUGGGUCCUGGUCAUCAGGAGGAGGAAGGCAUGACAUUACAUGAUGUGGGCAGGAUCCCAGGUGGCCAGCUUGGUGGUCUCUUGGCCUAUUGUGACUUGAUGGACAGGAAAGACAGCCUUGGCUGGAGACGGGAAGUCUGGGCAGGGGCUCAGGCCCUUUGGAACGGGUAGGUUCUAACUUAACCCACGAGCCUUUGUCAAGAAGAGGAAACUCACUACAAUCCUGGAAGUGCUGCUCCCCAAACAUAUGGAAGUGGGUCUGAACAGUGAAAGGAUAUGGAUUUUGGUAGGAAUGAAGGUAAGCUGCCCGAAUCCUCCUUCAAAGAAGCACUUGCUGCAAAGUGUCAAAAAUGAGUAAAGAAGACAAUUUAGAUGAUACAGACAAACUUUAUUAAAUACUUUAUGGAGAGGAGUUCCCAAGCAUCCAGAGAACUACAAAAUGAGAUUGAAUACAGGAAGUGUUUAUAGGAUCAAGAAUAAGGGACAAAGAAUAAAGUAUGGAGCCCGGAGCUGGCCUGGCACUUGGAGACUGGCUGAGUGACAUACUACAUCCUGGUCAAACGGAGCACUUACAGGGACACAGAAGUUACCCAAGUUGUGGUUUGCUGACGUGGCCCCCGGGCAAGAGAAGCUCCAUCUUGGGCUUAGAAAUUUAUUUCAAGUGAAUUGGGGAACGCAGACGACAGAUAGCUCUGGUCAUUACUGCGAGGUCGCCCCGUCUCAUCGAGGUCACUCUGUUCCUGGGGCAGCACACUCCUUGCGACAGAGCAUGGAAGCAGGACGGGGAACACUCUGGCUCAGUCUUUUACUGACUGGAGAGCCUCCUCUAGAGCCCUGGGGGCCCCGCAGUUGGGAAAAGGGCCUGUGUCAGCCAGACAAAGGGUACUGUGGGACUGACCCUGCACCAGGAUCAUGCGUGGAGAGGGGAGAGAGCAGGGCGUGGGGAAAAGCUCAGGCUUGAUUUUAAUCCUGGUGCUAACACUCAGGAGGUAUCUGACAUGACUCAUGCCAGAAUAAGUCAGCAUAAAUGGACAAUUGCGUGAGAGGUGCACCUAUUCACAGGUGCGAAGAGUAAUUAUAUACUCAGCGACCCUGGUCAAAGAGAAGCAAGUCUUUUACUCAUCACACAAGGGUUCUCUUCUGAGCAAGAUGCCCAUGAAUCGUGAGCUGGGGCGGGGAGCCCGCAUGACACAAGGUCAGAAACACAGAGUCUUGCUCUGGCCUCAACCUCCCAUUCUAAGGCAGUUUCCUUCCAUUUGCUAGAAUGUCUUUUAACUUGCCCAGCCCAAAACUGCUCUUUGUGCAAAUAAACCAAUUUUUAAAUAUGUGGGUUUUUUUUUCUUAAUCAUCUAAAGAAUUUUAAAAGAAAUGCUUGUGACUAUUUCUAAGAUUGCCAGAAUUUAGGGGAAAAACACUUUCAGGACCUCUUAUUCUUGUAAUAGCUUCAAGUAAAACCAUUUUCAAGUUCUUCUUUUUCAAAUUUUUUUCAGACGAAACUAAUGAAUAACACUAACAGUAGUAAUUAUGAUACUGAUGAAAUUAUAAUAAUGAUAAUAUGUAUUGAUUAUAAUAUAUUAAUAUGAUGUAUACUAAUUAGUACAAUGAUACACUUAUGAUAACGAGCAAACAUUUGCUAAAUCAAUUUUGAAAAUAGUUACCAAAGUCCGUGGAUUUUUUACUGAUACACUAAAUGAACGAUAUAGGUAAUUAACCGGGUUAAUUGAAAUAUCCAAAUAAAUUGAGGCAAAGAGAGUUUCAAGCACUAAUUACAUAGUUAAUAGCCUUCGAGCUCUACUUCUUUUUGUUGGUAAAGACCAAAAUGCACCAGCGCUUGGGUCAUUCAUUUCUUCUGGUAUCUCAUUUUUCAGCCUCUAAACAAUAUCCAUACUGCUAAAUGCUAUAAUAUAAUAUAAUAUAAUAUAAUAUAAUAUAAUAUAUAAUAUAAUAUAAUAUAAAGCGCUAAAUGCUUCUAAAACAGCACAUGCCUACAAGCACAGGCAGGCACAGCCCUGCCUUCAGAACUGGGGGAGCGAAGUUCGAGAACAGAAUCAACCUCUGAGAGUGUGUGAGGGAAAGAUGCUUCUGACCGCAAGUGCUUUUCUCCGUGGAACACCAUGCUCACCCUGCACCUGCAGCUUCUUCGCUGUCAGUGUCGGCAAAGUGAUGCCUCGGACACAGGAAAGGUGAGGAAGGAUGUUGAACACUCCAGGCAGGGAGAUGGAGACUGAGAGAGGGUCAUGGGCUUUCCUGUUUUCUGGGCUUUGCAGCUGUCUACUCUGCUCCAGGGGAAGAGCUCAGGCUGGUUUCAUGGCUGGUGUGGGAGGGGAUGUGAGAGCAGAUGGAGACCGGAGAAGACACGGGCAUGAGGAACAAAGGCAAGUUGUGGAGGGAGGAAGGAUUUGUUGAAAUAAAAUCACCCAAGGUCACUAUGGAUCUGGCCCAGAGAGGGAGCAUCUAUCAAGCCUCAGCCCAGGAGUCUAUUUGACUAUUACAGAGAUUGACCCAAGCACGAUUGCCAUAUUCAUCGAGGGUGGCUGUUGCGGAAAGAGGAGAUUUACGAAAGGGAGCAAAUUUUGAAUCAUGAAUGUCUCCUAAUAAUCCCUCUUCAACUCUGGUUUAGGACUGGAGAGAUGACAGCCAUGAAGGCCAGUAUAAUGGAGCUUUGCUAAAAAAAAGAUUUCUAGAAGACAGAAAAUACUUGGAAGCAUAUUUAUGGAUAGUGAUGUGGAAAAGUCACCGUGUCAUGUAAACACAGAGAAAAAUGAGAUGGAGAGCCAGUCAGCCUGACACCUCUGGAGAAUCUCUAGACCUGGAGUCAACAGAAGUGGCAUAUGAUGGGAGUCAAGGAGAAAAUAUAAGGAUUAUAUGAAGAAGGAUAUGAAAACACUGCAGAUAAGCUAGGAAGAGCUAGGAUCCCGGUACCAAAAUAAGCCCUCAGGUGACCAGGAACAAGGUAGGGUAAGACCACAUUUUGAGAAGAAAGAGACACAAGCCAAAACAGCCUGGAUGCCUGAGCAAUGUCAUGGAGAAGAAAAGAGCUUCCCUGGAGAAGAGAACUCAAGACACAUCACAAUUUGUAUAAGCCAAAAAUAUACAUUCUUACGUUAA